GAUGAACGCUGGCGGCGUGCCUAAUACAUGCCAGUCGAGCGAACGGACGAGAAGCUUGCUUCUCUGAUGUUAGCGGCGGACGGGUGAGUAACACGUGGAUAACCUACCUAUAAGACUGGGAUAACUUCGGGAAACCGGAGCUAAUACCGGAUAAUAUUUUGAACCGCAUGGUUCAAAAGUGAAAGACGGUCUUGCUGUCACUUAUAGAUGGAUCCGCGCUGCAUUAGCUAGUUGGUAAGGUAACGGCUUACCAAGGCAACGAUGCAUAGCCGACCUGAGAGAGUGAUCGGACACACUGGAACUGAGACACGGUCCAGACUCCUACGGGAGGCAGCAGUAGGGAAUCUUCCGCAAUGGGCGAAAGCCUGACGGAGCAACGCCGCGUGAGUGAUGAAGGUCUUCGGAUCGUAAAACUCUGUUAUUAGGGAAGAACAUAUGUGUAAGUAACUGUGCACAUCUUGACGGUACCUAAUCAGAAAGCCACGGCUAACUACGUG
rnacentral:rRNA from 1 species